UCGUAACUAGGGCUGGAAGUGGGCUCGGGCCGCUUGCGGGCCGGGCUAUGGGCUAGACCCAAUGAAUUUCGGGCCGGGCUCGGGCUGCAAACUUAAGCCCAAUUUUAUUUCGGGCCGGGCUCGGGUUUUCCAUUGGCCCGGCCCGGCCCGGACCAAGCCCGAGCCCAAUGCCAGCCCAAACCGAAAUAAAAUCACGGCCCAAACGGGCUGACCCAAACGGUUUGUUAGGAUCUUUUUGGGCCUUUUUUUCCUUCUUGGCCUGUCUUUUGCUACUCUUAUCUGCCUUAAUAGCAGCCUUGCGUUUCCCAACCUUCCUGAAAUAAAGAAACUUCAAAUAUAUUUCUAGAACAACAUAGCAUGCUGAAAACCUCUCUUCUGCAAAGGGAUCUUGGCUACAGUAAAAUCCUUAAUGUUGAACGUGCAGAAGAAGGACCUUCCGUCAUAACAUAUAUUUGUGUCACUCAUCGGAAAUACUCAUAUAAUUACAAAAUGACCACUUGUGUGCCCCAGCCUUGCUGCAAAUGUGCCUAGAACCUCGUGUGUGCAUCUGCACUUAAACUCAGUGUUUCCAUGCUCCAUAGGCUCAAUAAGUUUACUCAGCAAAUAAGAUGAA
rnacentral:lncRNA from 1 species